GAGGAUCCUUUUCUUUGGCAGAAGCUGCGCCUGGGCAGAGGCGGCGACCGUCAACUUCAGCGCAGGCUACGAAUGCUGGUCCUUGCCGCUGUCCGCCGUGAAGGGAUUAAUGGUCGAUUAAUGGUCUGAUCGGAAUGUGCAUACCUGUGUGCUUUUAGGAUGAGAACAAAUUUUUUGCACGUUAUCCGGCGUACCUCCUAUUGGAUCCAACUUUGGGCUUUCCUUCUCCCGGAGGAUAUGCGGAAGGAUAUGGUUUCUGUAGGCAACCAGAUGCUAGUAGUUGCUCAGUACUUCUUUUUCUAGGCUAUUGGGUAGCAGCACAUUAAUAGAUUAACUAAUGGAUAGUUUCAUCAUGUGCCUCAUUUUCUUAUGGUUGAUACAUGUUUCGACCUUAUCUGAUCAGUGAUGUAUUAACGGAAUACUUUUGUACCAGUACUUUUUAAUAAAUGAAAGGCUGUAUGCAUCGCUCGCUCGAUGCAGAGGCUGAGGCUAGGCUCCCA